CAAGAUAGAGCUUGAGGAGUUAAGCAUCUCACUUACGUUGAGAAGUUCGUCGUGCAAAUCGAUGUUUCUUGA
rnacentral:tRNA from 1 species